rnacentral:rRNA from 1 species
UACGUAGGGUGCAAGCGUUGUCCGGAAUUAUUGGGCGUAAAGAGCUUGUAGGCGGUUUGUCGCGUCUGCUGUGAAAUUUCGGGGCUCAACCCCGAACUUGCAGUGGGUACGGGCAGACUAGAGUGUGGUAGGGGAGACUGGAAUUCCUGGUGUAGCGGUGAAAUGCGCAGAUAUCAGGAGGAACACCGAUGGCGAAGGCAGGUCUCUGGGCCAUAACUGACGCUGAGAAGCGAAAGCAUGGGGAGCGAACAGGAUUAGAACCGUACCGUCAGAUCCAA